CCGGUUUCGGUAAAUCUCUGGGUAAAUCGAUGGGCUUAACCCCAUCGAAUUCUGGGGAGACUGCUGGACUUGGGACCCGGGAGAGGUCGGAGGUACUCCAGGGGUAGGGGGUGAAAUCCUGUAAUCCCUUGGGGGACCACCGGUGGCGAAGGCGUCCGACCAGAACGGGGUCCGACGGUAAGGGACGAAGCCCUGGGGCGCAAACCGGAUUAGAUACCCGGGUAGUCCAGGGUGUAAACGCUGCGCGCUUGGUGUUGGGGGUCUCAUGUGGGCACCCAGUGCCGGAGAGAAGUUGUUAAGCGCGCCGCCUGGGGAGUACGGUCGCAAGACUGAAACUUAAAGGAAUUGGCGGGGGAGCACAGCAACGGGAGGAGCGUGCGGUUUAAUUGGAUUCAACGCCGGAAAACUCACCAGGGGCGACUGCCACAUGAAAGCCAAGCUGAUGACUUUGCUCGAUUGGUAGAGAGGUGGUGCAUGGCCGUCGUCAGUUCGUACCGUAGGGCGUUCUGUUAAGUCAGAUAACGAACGAGACCCUUGCCCUUAAUUGCCAUGUGUCUCUCCGGAGAUACGGUACUUUAAGGGGACCGCUGGUGCAAAAUCAGAGGAAGGGAAGGGCAACGGUAGGUCAGUAUGCCCCGAAUCCCCUGGGCAACACGCGCGCUACAAAGGCUGGGACAAAGAGCUCCGACACCGAGAGGUGAAGGCAAUCCUGAAACCCACCCGUAGUUCGGAUCGAGGGCUGCAACCCGCCCUCGUGAAGUUGGAUUCCGUAGUAAUCGCAGGUCAACAUCCUGCGGUGAAUAUGCCCCUGCUCCUUGUACCCACCGCCCGU
rnacentral:rRNA from 1 species